ACUUAAUACCCACAUAAAGAAAAAAGAAAAAAAGCCAUUGAUGUUUCUUGAGGUUUCUCAGAAAUUGUAGUGGUUUAAAUACCAGAUAUCUCCUUCUUCUUCUCUUGCAUAAUUCAAGCCUUGUGUUGGUGAAGAUGAGUGAUCCAAAAUAUGGCUAUCCUUACCCACCUCCUCAAGGAGGUUAUUAUCAAGGGCCGCCAGUGAUGGCGCCACCGCAAUACGCGGUGCCACCACCGAAAAGGCAGCCAGGCUUCUUGGAGGGAUGCCUUGCUGCUCUGUGCUGCUGCUGUCUCCUUGAUGAGUGCUGCUGUGACCCUUCCAUCAUAUUUCUUGCUUGAUGUCAAUCAAAGCUUUGCCCAUUCUGAUUCAAAGACUUCUCGUUUCUUUGGGGGUGAUUUGUUUUUGGUGUCAAGUUUGAAUGAAGAUUUGAUUGCUGUGUAGGAACAAGGCUUUUGUUUUGUUGCAAGUACAGGUGGUUUUUUUUUUUUACAACAUAUUAGAGGGGUUUCGAACUCACGACCUCUUGAUUGGAGGUAUAUAUUAAUUACCGCUGAGUUAUGUUUACUUUGGCAUAGGUAUAGGUAGGUUAUAAAUUUAGUUCUUAAACUUUGACUGACGUUUUCAUGUAGUAUCUAUAUGUUGUUAAUUACAGUCGAUUAAUGUCGAUAUAGUA